AUGGUGACGCGGGCCUGGGGCAGAGCUGGGAGCGCGGGCUGGGCUGGGCCGGGCCAAGGCCCUCAUACCUCUCCACGCUCUACCAUCAGGGGGGGGACAGGGGAGGCCCCUCAGGGGGCCACAGGGAGAUUCAAAAAGCCCACAGGCCUCUGGGCAGGGCCAGACCACCACCCAGCCCUGGGGCUUCCAAGGCCCACUGGCCUCAGUGGGCAGGGCACUAAGAGCUGUGUCCACUGUGCACAGAGGGGUGGAGUGCAGUACCCUCACUCACUUGAGGAUCUUGCCAGCCGCUGGCUCCUCCUGGCCCCAGGUGCACAGGUCCACCCCGAAAGGGACGACAGGUGCCCGGGCCUGCUCUGCCGCCCGCCGUGCAGCCUGCUCCGGGGCCAGCGGAGCCCUGGGGCUGGGGGGCGGGGCUGGGGACCCGUGGGGUCGGAGCCGGUGCAGUUGGGCGGCCGCAGAGGUGGGGUCGCAGGCCUCCAUGUCACUCCCAGGCCUCUUCCUCGCCUGCGAGCCUGGUAUGGCCAGACCUUCCUCCAGCCCUGGAACACAGAGAUGUCUGCUCUCAGUCGCCACCCCGGAUCCUGCACGGAGCCCUGCAGGGCGGCCCCGCCCCCGGUGACGGGCACAGCCCGUGAGCGCACCUGUCCGGCCGGCCCAGGCCCAUGGCUGGCUACUCAUUGCCGAAGCCACCAGACACCGACCUCUGUGGGCCAGGCGUUUGCGCCGAGUGCCCAGAGCAGUGGAGGCCGUGUCUCUGACGCCCCUGGACCCCAUUCAUCAGGACCCCUGCCCACUGGUGCCGGUGUCCAGGCUGUCCCUGACCCCUGCCAACCCUGCCCAGCUGGGCACGGGGCCAGCGUCCCGGGAGGCAGGGGGCGGAGCCGUCAGGACCCAGAGGCGCUCCACCCCGAGGGCCCCGCCCUCUCUCUGAGCUUUCCUCCGCACAGCAGGAAGAACCGCGACCAACGCACCCAGGAUACGGGAACUGAAGAGGGGCUGGAGACGCAGCAGAAGACAAGAGGGGACCCGAGCAGCCUGGGGAGGGUGGCCCCCGGCAGGGACGUGGCACGGGAGGCGGCCACACACACGUGCAGACAGUUCUCCGUGCAUGGAGGCGUGACGCGUGACGCGUGCCCACGUCCUUAUCACCUGACCCCAGGAGGAGAGGAAAUGACUGGAAUGGGGGAAAGACAGUCCAGGCUUCCUGGAAUCAGAAGGAAACUGAGGAGUUUCCUGAGGGCAAAAAGGAGACAGAGAAAGAACAGGCAAGUCACUCAGGAGAGCAGUUAGAAACAUCAGAGGGGAAGAAAAAGGUCUGAGCAGCUUUCCUCCAAAAGCCAUGAACAUCCAUGGGCACCACGAGCAGUUGAGUAUGAGGUCUGAGGGAUGAUGUUCAAACUUAAGACUUUUUCAACCAGCUCCGCUAGGUGUCAAGGUCGCGGCUUCUAUGGCAGAUACCGUGGACUUCCCAUCCAAGAAAUCCUUCCCAGGAACAGAGAAAACUGACAGGACGGCCAAGUGGGCAGCUCCAGGGGCCACAGGGCUGCCGGAGAGCAGAGCUAGAGGACAUCAACACAGGACAGCCCACCAUGCCCUGUGCCUGGCCUCCGGACGGCACCUCCAUCCUUCCAUCUGUGUGCAGGGACUCACUCAGAGAAGCGAGAGACAAAACAAUAAACAAUGCAGCCUGGAAUCUGCACGCAGGCUCCCUGCACACAGAGCCUGGAGUCUGCACGCGGCCUCCCUGUACACACAGAGCCUGGUGUCUGCACGCGGCCUCCCUGUACACACAGAGCCUGGAGUCUGCAAGUGCCCUCCCUGUACACACAGAGCCUGGUGUCUGCACGUGCCCUCCCUGUACACACAGAGCCUGGAGUCUGCACGUGCCCUCCCUGUACACACAGAGCCUGGAGUCUGCACGCGGCCUCCCUGCACAAAGAUGCUGUCUGGCGCUUUUGCAGAAGCCCCACGAUGCCCACAAAUCUGAAAACGUUUUCUCCAAGUCUUUCAUGAGACUCGCCCGCCCUUCCUGCUCCAGACGCCCUCCAAGCUCACACACACACUAAGCGUGGGGUUCACCCCUGCUUCUCGAGUGCCUGUGGCUGAGAGCAGAGGACCCGGGGCAGAAGCCUGGAGUCUGCUCGCGGCCUCCCUGUGUGCACAGAGCCUGGAGUAUGCACACGGCCUCCCUGCACACAGAGCCUGGAGUUUGCAUGCGGCCUCCCUGCACACAGAGCCUGGAGUCUGCACGCGGCCUCCCUGUACACACAGAGCCUGGAGUAUGCACACGGCCUCCCUGCACACAGAGCCUGGUGUCUGCACAUGCCCUCCCUGUACGCACAGAGCCUGCAGUCUGCACGCAGGCUCCCUGUACACACAGAGCCUGGAGUCUGCCCCCUCCCUGCACAAAGAGCCUGGAGUCUGCAUGUAGCCUCCCUGUGUACACAGACCCUGGUGUCUGCACGUGCCCUCCCUGUACGCACAGAGCCUGGAGUCUGCACGCGGCCUCCCUGUACACACAGAGCCUGGUGUCUGCACGCGGCCUCCCUGUACACACAGAGCCUGGAGUCUGCAAGUGCCCUCCCUGUACACACAGAGCCUGGUGUCUGCACGUGCCCUCCCUGUACACACAGAGCCCGGAGUCUGCAUGCGGCCUCCCUGUACACACAGAGCCUGGAGUCCGCAUACAGCCUCACACCCACCCAAUGCUGUCUGGCGCUUUUGCAGAAGCCCCACGAUGCCCACAAAUCUGAAAACGUUUUCUCCAAGUCUUUCAUGAGACUCGCCCGCCCUUCCUGCUCCAGACGCCCUCCAAGCUCACACACAGACUAAGCGUGGGGUUCACCCCUGCUUCUCGAGUGCCUGUGGCUGAGAGCAGAGGACCCGGGGCAGAGCAGAGCCAGUCCCCAGUAUGGCAGCUCCGCGUGGGUCACCGGCAGCCCCCAGCUCUGAGCACAUUCGGAAGGCAGGCUGGGACCAGGCUCUGCCACCAGCAAACCCCAGGUCCAGGGACGAGGCCUUCCAGGCGACCCACCCGGGAUACUGGCAAUGCCGCACUCCCAGCUGGUACAGACACACAGCCACGCGCACACGUGGGGAGGCAGGCCGAUAAGUGGCCGCAGUGGCACUUACGAAGAUGGAUACAAUCACUGCCCAACAAUCGAUGUGAGAAUUCCUAAGAGUUACAAGAAUGAAAUAUACUUUUCAUUGAUUUGUUGUUUUAAACCAUUAAAAAGAUGAGGAAGCGUGUUAAAGCAGGGUAAACAGGGCACUAAAGACACUCCCAUUCUCACACUGUUGCAGAAAAUCAAUCUCCAUGACAUACUUUCAAGUAAAAAUCCAAAAAGCAGGUGAGUCCACGGCCCUGGGAAUGGUGCUAUUGGGGAGAACACCGACGGGGAGCCUGGCGGCCGCGGGCCCCACCUGCCGACCGGGGCGUCAGACCCAGGCCUGGACCUCAGCUCAAAUUCACUCCCGCAACGGCUCUUAAGAACAAUCACAGCAAAUGUCUAAAUCCCUUUUUUGUUUGAAGUGACCAAGUAGCACCCAUUUGCGCCGCGGCAGGCGGGGUGGUGGGAUCGAUGGCAGGAAAUGGGAGGCGGGGGCUGAGCGCAGAGCUGGGCUCAAGCCUGACACUAUUGAUUUUACCUAGUUCAGCUGGCCUUGUAAUUAAAAUGUAAAUUUGAGAAAGAGAUUAUGUCCUGACAGAAACGGUAGGAUUAAGGAGAAGAUAAAAGCCCCUCAGUGAAAAUUCAGAGAAAGGAAUGAGAAAGAAACGGGCGCCGUCUCCCCAGCUACGGGCUUAGACGGACCUACUGCAGAGUCAUCGCCUUUAACUGAAAACCAGUGACGACGAUCAACUGGCACCAUGAACUGGCGCCCAGCACUUCCUGCGCUGCCCCUGCGGCACCAGGGUCCAUGGUGCAGACCCAGCCCUGGACCCCUUGAGGAGCAAGGGGUCUCCUGCCGCCCGCUGUCAAGAGGCCUGUCCUGGGGCACAGCGGCCCCUCCUGCAGGGGGUCCCAGGCGCCCGGCCCACAAACCCCCGCCCGCCCCUGCCGCCUCGUGGGCGCGGGAUGAGGCCUGCGGGUGGCAGACCCAGACCAGGCACCUGGAGGGGCAUGUCAGAAGGCAGGGCCCCAGAGACGGCCCAGGGCUCAGAGGAGACCUGCGCUGGGACGGCGUGGCCAGCGAGGUCAGCGUGAGGGCGCGGCGGGGGCUGGAGGGCUGGGGUGGGCAGCAGCUGCACCCUCAGGCGCCCAGGGAGGGCCUCAAGGCAGCGGACGGGGGCCUCGAACAGCAGGUGGGGUACACCCUGGCCACAUCCACGCCUCGACUGCCUGCGCACCUAAGCCCUGGACAGGCUCACCGUCAGCUCACAUGCCAACUCAAACCUCGAGUCGACAACUCGCUCCCUCCCCACACGAGCCCCACGUGGCGCAGGCUUCACGCGCUCCCUCUGCGCACAAGGCGCUCUGUGCACACGCGGCUCCUGGAGGUGUUUGGAGAGAAACUCCGGCAAAGGCAGGGGGCAGCAGCGCCUCCCCGAGGGGCCCUGGGGCUCCUGGACCAGAGGCUGAGCCGCGACCCCACCGACGGGACCAGGACUCAGGGAGGCCUGCGUCAGCAGGUGCCUGACCUCGUAGGGAGAAUCACGGUUUCCAAUGGAAGUGGCUCCGCAGGGGCACCCAGUGGGGCGGCAGAGACCCCAGGACGACGUGGCACGGACUGGGCACCCUGUGGCCGGCCCCCUGCUCUGCGGGCCCAGGCUGGACCCAAGCCCGCCCUCAGGGGCCGCGUCCUGAGGGCCCCCCUCCCGGGCCCAUGCCGCUGCUCACCGCACUCAGGCCGCAGGUGCUCCGGGACACAGGCCUCGUAGCCCUCCUUCUCCGGGACCUCCACAAAGUCGUCCUCGUCGUCAUCCUCGUCCCCGGGGGCUGCCAUCUGGGGAAAUACCCCAAGCUGUGAGUGACAGCCGCAGGCAGAGCCCCAGCUGUGGACUGCCUCCAGGGUGGGGCUCAGCAUGUACCACGUGGCCCCAUUCACAGUCCACCUCAUUCCCUAAACCGCAGCAGCCCACAUGCGCCUCCGCCGGCUGGCCCGCUGAGACCCACAGACGGGCACGCUGCAGCCCAGGGCGCCCCACGGGCCUGAGGUCCUGGCCCUCCCCCCAGCUCCGGCCAGACCAGAAGCACCGCCCCCAGGCGUCCAGCGCUGCGGCUGUGACCACGGCACUUCCAGAACGUUCCAUCCUAGAGAGCGGCUUGUUACAAGGCCACUGAAGAGAAAGCCUCCCCUGGAAGGGGCAGGCCCUCCCUCUGGUCUCCGGGGCUCCGAGCC
rnacentral:lncRNA from 1 species